rnacentral:rRNA from 1 species
ACGGCUCAGUAACACGUGGUCAACAUACCCAGAGGACGUGGAUAACCUCGGGAAACUGAGGAUAAACCGCGAUAGACCAUAAUGUCUGGAAUGAUUUAUGGUUCAAAUCUAUAUGGCCUCUGGAUUGGACUGCGGCCGAUCAGGCUGUUGGUGAGGUAAUGGCCCACCAAACCUGAAACCGGUACGGGCUCUGAGAGGAGAAGCCCGGAGAUGGGCACUGAGACAAGGGCCCAGGCCCUAUGGGGCGCAGCAGGCGCGAAACCUUUGCAAUAGGCGAAAGCCUGACAAGGUUACUCUGAGUGAUCUCCGCUAAGGAAAUCUUUUGACACCUCUAAAAAUGGUGUAGAAUAAGGGGUGGGCAAGCCUGGUGUCAGCCGCCGCGGUAAUACCAGCACCCCGAGUGGUCGGGACGAUUAUUGGGCCUAAAGCAUCCGUAGCCGGUUCUUUAAGUCCUCCGUUAAAUCCACCUGCUUAACAGAUGGGCUGCGGAGGAUACUAUAGAGCUAGGAGGCGGGAGAGGCAAGCGGUACUCAGUGGGUAGGGGUAAAAUCCGUUGAUCCAUUGAAGACCACCAGUGGCGAAGGCGGCUUGCCAGAACGCGCUCGACGGUGAGGGAUGAAAGCUGGGGGAGCAAACCGGAUUAGAUACCCGGGUAGUCCCAGCUGUAAACGAUGCAGACUCGGUGAUGAACAGGCUUCGUGCCUGUUCAGUGCCGCAGGGAAGCCGUUAAGUCUGCCGCCUGGGGAGUACGGUCGCAAGACUGAAACUAGGGGGAAUUGGCGGGGGGAA